rnacentral:rRNA from 1 species
UACGUAGGUGGCGAGCGUUGUCCGGAUUUACUGGGCGUAAAGAGCGCGCAGGCGGUCGUAUAAGUCGCGUGUGAAAGCCCCCCGGCUCAACUGGGGAGGGUCACGCGAUACUGUUCGACUCGAAGGCAGGAGAGGGAAGUGGAAUUCCCGGUGUAGUGGUGAAAUGCGUAGAUAUCGGGAGGAACACCAGUGGCGAAGGCGACUUCCUGGCCUGUUCUUGACGCUGAGGCGCGAAAGCUAGGGUAGCAAACGGGG